rnacentral:rRNA from 1 species
UACGUAGGGUGCGAGCGUUGUCCGGAAUUAUUGGGCGUAAAGGGCUCGUAGGCGGUCUGUUGCGUCAGGAGUGAAAAACUCGGGGCUUAACCCCCGAGCCUGCUUCUGAUACGGGCAGACUAGAGGUAUGCAGGGGGAGAACGGAAUUCCUGGUGUAGCGGUGAAAUGCGCAGAUAUCAGGAGGAACACCGGUGGCGAAGGCGGUUCUCUGGGCAUGUCCUGACGCUGAGGAGCGAAAGUGUGGGGAGCGAACAGG